CGAGGUUUCCACACGUCGCUUCUAAACCUGUUCCGCCAGGUCGCCAGCAGGGGGCGCGUUACUCUCCCUCGCAGGAGGGGUUGUCCUCUCUGCAAUCAGCAUCGGACAGCAGCCGAGCCGCUCUUCGUCUUUAAAAGCUGCUGGAAACACACGCACGCACUCACCUGCUGCUGAUAACCGAGCUACGAUGUUCUGCAGGCGGGCGUUCCAGAGAGUCGGGCCGCUGGCGCGGAGGGCGUUCAGGCCAACGUCCAGGAAUGCAGCUCCAGUGCGACACAUGGCCUUCGGGGUCCCUGGUGGCUCCUCCAACAUGGCGUACAUUGUCCUGUGUGGCGGAGGCGUCACUGCCGCAGUCGUCUAUGCCUACAAGACGGUCGGCGGCAACGGUGAGCGCCAUGAGGACCGACUCGCCACCAUGGCCGUCAUAGAAAAGGCACCGGAAGUUGCCGCUCCUGCAGCUGAACCCGCCGCAUUGGAGGAGGCAGCGCCGACCCCCGAGGUCCUGGCUGAGGUUGUUGAGGAGUCUGGCCCUGCUCCUGCCGAACCAGUAGCCGAGGCUGCUGCUGAACCCGACGUGCUUGCAGAGUCCAUCCCUGCAGAACCAGUAGCAGAGACCGCUCCCGAACCUGCCGUCGAGGCGGUGUCUGAAGAAGAAGCUGCAGCCGAGGUGGUCGUUGCAGAGCCGGCACCGACAGAAGAAGCCGCUCCAGCUGCCGUGGAAGAUGAGUCUGCUGCCACCGUGGAGGUUGCUGCCACCGAGGAGACGCCGGCAGAGGCCCCUGCAGCAGAAGCCCACUUGGCAGAAAGUGCUGAGUCCUUGCCUGAUCUGCUCACAGCAGUGAAAGUCUUGGCUGGCCCUCCGAUUGAGAUAGCGGCAGCUUCUGUUGAGAACAGUCUGGUGGAAGGUUUGGACUUUCCACUGAAGGUGGUCGAACCAGAAGCUGUGGAAGCGACCACAGAGGAGGUAGCCAAAGAAGCUCAAGAGGUGACCAUGGUGAACGAGGAGGAGUCGAAGCCUGCAGAUGCUGAACAGCUGGUUGAAGAAGGGACAGCUGCCAGUGUAGAGGCAGCGCUGGAGGAGGAGGUCCAGUCUGAAGACCAGACUGCAGACUCUGCAGCUGUCCGGGAGGAAGCCGCCGCCUCUUCUGAUACCCCACCUGAAGAUGCUGCUCCUGCUGAGGAGGCCACCACUGCUGCUGAAGCUGCUCCUCUGGAUGACACGCCGCCCGAUGCGGAGACAUGGGUGGAUGACGUAGCAGCCGAAGCUUUGGCAGCAACGCAUAGUGAAGCUGCAGCAGUCGUAGAUGCGAGUCAGCUGGCAGCAGCCUCCUCCGGGUCAGACCUGGAGGUGCUCUCAGCUGCUGGACCAGGAGCUACGUCAGAAGCUCCAGGGCAAGAGUCCAAGCGCUGCCACUCUUGCCACUCUGCUCCAUCAAUAGCCGUCGAAGUGGCGCCACCUGCUGCUUUGGGAGUGCAGCCGUCCGGUGAGGAAGAUGUGGAUGUUGCAGAGGAGGUCAAGGAGGCAGAGUCCCUGGUUGAAGGACAAACGGCACAGACAUUGGCGGUGGCAACGACCCAGUCGUGAUGGACAGUGUGCCUUCUACAACACUCGCUUAUCCGUCAACGGGGCCCGGAUGGCCGAUGAAAGCGGCACGGGGAGAACCAGCUACUGGUCUAAUUAGUGAAUGUGUCCUUUCAAAUGUUUUCAAGGGGGUUUAUUGUGUUUCUUCUGAUCUUUAGUAGCCUUUGUGAAACUAUUCCCAUAAUGUCUCUUGUCCUCUAGAUGUCACUGUAGCAUGACAAGUUGAGAGCACACAGGGUUCUUUGUAGUUGUUUCUAAGUGUUGGAAGGGUUUUGUUCUUUAUGUAAUGUUGUGACAGACUGAUGUCAAUAUUCAGCUCAACAAUAACUAGCAACUAAGACUGCACCAGAUAUUGUAUUUGGGGAAAUAGUUUAAAUAGGUGCAGACAUGAGAAUGUUUAGUGGUUUAAGACCAUCUCACCUUUAUUGUGUUGCUUUCAUAAAGGAAAACGUUACAUAUUAGAUAUUUGCUUUUUAAAGCUAGACUACAACUGGCAUCAUUAAUGUGUGUAUAUAUAAUGUGAUGUGAAUGAUUUUCUUCUUAUUCUAGACUAAUUUUCCUUCGACAACAAAGGAUAGAAACAUAAUGUCCAGGGUCAACAUGAACAUUCAAUCCAAAGAGGGUUGCAGAUAUAUCAUAAUAUAUUGUCAUCAUUGAACUAUGUAUCAUAUGAACUAGUUAACAUACCUCUUUGUAUUUAGUCAAAUACAAUAUCUUUCUUGUCAUGAAAGUGCGCUCACAUAGACAAUAAAGUGAUGGACAAACAAUUCAAAGUUCGGCUGUUUAUAAAGGUAUGUUUAAUAAACAUGGUCUUGCACUGUGCUGUAGUAGAUGUCAGUGGACCUUUUGAUGGAUCGAUAUAGAUAUUAGCUUUUCAUGUUUUAGGAAUACCAUCAAUUAAUUGGAAUACCAAUUUAGUGACCAUCUUCGUUGUCCUGAAACGGCCCAUUGAUGAGCUUUUAAAACCAACGGAUCAGGACCAGAUUUAUGUUUAUGUUCUUUGUUUUUAUUCCUCAAAUAAAAAAAUAAAAAACUUAACAAAUACACCAAUAAAACCGAACUGAUGGAGUCUAA
ensembl:lncRNA